CACGGGGGGGAGCAAGCGUUGUUCGGAAUCACUGGGCGUAAAGGGCGUGUAGGCGGUUUGGUAAGUGGGAUGUGAAAUGCCUCGGCUCACCCGAGGACCGGCAUCCCAAACUGCCAAGCUUGAGUAUGGGAGAGGAUGUGGGAAUUCCUGGUGUAGCGGUGAAAUGCGUAGAUAUCAGGAGGAACACCGGUGGCGAAGGCGCACAUCUGGCCCAAUACUGACGCUGAGGCGCGAAAGCUAGGGGAGCAAACGGG
rnacentral:rRNA from 1 species